rnacentral:rRNA from 1 species
AUUGAACGCUGGCGGCAUGCCUUACACAUGCAAGUCGAACGGCAGCACGGGAGCAAUCCUGGUGGCGAGUGGCGAACGGGUGAGUAAAGUAUCGGAACGUGCUCAGUCGUGGGGGAUAACGUAGCGAAAGUUACGCUAAUACCGCAUACGAUCUAUGGAUGAAAGCGGGGGAUCGCAAGACCUCGCGCGAUUGGAGCGGCCGAUAUCAGAUUAGGUAGUUGGUGGGGUAAAGACUCACCAAGCCGACGAUCUGUAGCUGGUCUGAGAGGACGACCAGCCACACUGGGACUGAGACACGGCCCAGACUCCUACGGGAGGCAGCAGUGGGGAAUUUUGGACAAUGGGCGAAAGCCUGAUCCAGCCAUGCCGCGUGCAGGAUGAAGGCCUUCGGGUUGUAAACUGCUUUUGUACGGAACGAAAAGGUUUGGCCUAAUAAGCUGAGCUCAUGACGGUACCGUAAGAAUAAGCACCGGCUAACUCUGUGCCAGCCGCCGCCGUAA